rnacentral:misc_RNA from 1 species
GAAAAGGUGGUUGGUUCUGAGCGAUCAGCCCUUCUUGGUUGUCUUUGUCAAGGCAUAAACUCUCGCAGAUAUCCCUGUUACGCACCUCGACUCUCAUGAAAUAAGUGCUUUAUGACCGAGUGUCUGCUAUGUGUAUCAGUACGAGGAGAGUCAUGAAAUAAGGACUUUAUGUCCGAGUGUGUAACAGUACGAGGGGUGUCAUGAAAUAUUAUCUCCGAGUGUUUGCUAUUGUAUCAGUGCGUGGAGUGUUUUCAAAUAAGAGCUUUUAUGUUCAUUUGUGUUUGCUAUGUGAAUUAGUGUAUGUCGAC